rnacentral:rRNA from 1 species
UACGUAGGUGGCAAGCGUUUGUCCGGAUUUAUUGGGUUUAAAGGGUGCGUAGGCGGCCCUGUAAGUCAGUGGUGAAAUACUCUAGCUUAACUAGAGGGGUGCCAAUGAUACUGCAGGGCUUGAGUACAGAUGAGGUAGGCGGAAUUGACGGUGUAGCGGUGAAAUGCAUAGAUAUCGUCAAGAACACCUAUAGCGAAGGCAGCUUACUGGGCUGGUACUGACGCUGAGGAGCGAAAGCGUGGGGGAGCGAACAGG